CUCAGUAUGCGGCUGGAUCACCUCCUGAGAGUUUGACCUGGCUCAGGAUGAACGCUGGCGGCGUGCCUAAUACAUGCAAGUCGAGCGAACAGACGAGGAGCUUGCUCCUCUGACGUUAGCGGCGGACGGGUGAGUAACACGUGGAUAACCUACCUAUAAGACUGGGAUAACUUCGGGAAACCGGAGCUAAUACCGGAUAAUAUAUUGAACCGCAUGGUUCAAUAGUGAAAGACGGUUUUGCUGUCACUUAUAGAUGGAUCCGCGCCGCAUUAGCUAGUUGGUAAGGUAACGGCUUACCAAGGCAACGAUGCGUAGCCGACCUGAGAGGGUGAUCGGCCACACUGGAACUGAGACACGGUCCAGACUCCUACGGGAGGCAGCAGUAGGGAAUCUUCCGCAAUGGGCGAAAGCCUGACGGAGCAACGCCGCGUGAGUGAUGAAGGUCUUCGGAUCGUAAAACUCUGUUAUUAGGGAAGAACAAAUGUGUAAGUAACUAUGCACGUCUUGACGGUACCUAAUCAGAAAGCCACGGCUAACUACGUGCCAGCAGCCGCGGUAAUACGUAGGUGGCAAGCGUUAUCCGGAAUUAUUGGGCGUAAAGCGCGCGUAGGCGGUUUUUUAAGUCUGAUGUGAAAGCCCACGGCUCAACCGUGGAGGGUCAUUGGAAACUGGAAAACUUGAGUGCAGAAGAGGAAAGUGGAAUUCCAUGUGUAGCGGUGAAAUGCGCAGAGAUAUGGAGGAACACCAGUGGCGAAGGCGACUUUCUGGUCUGUAACUGACGCUGAUGUGCGAAAGCGUGGGGAUCAAACAGGAUUAGAUACCCUGGUAGUCCACGCCGUAAACGAUGAGUGCUAAGUGUUAGGGGGUUUCCGCCCCUUAGUGCUGCAGCUAACGCAUUAAGCACUCCGCC
rnacentral:rRNA from 1 species